rnacentral:sRNA from 1 species
AGAAGCUGCACCAUGUCCAUGUCACCCACGGUCGUCAUCCUGGCAUGUCUUGGGUUCUUCUUGGACCAGAGCGUGUGGGCACACGUGGGUGGUCAGGACAAGCCCUUCUGCUCUGCCUGGCCCAGCGCUGUGGUGCCUCAAGGAGGACACGUGACUCUUCGGUGUCACUAUCGUCGUGGGUUUAACAUCUUCACGCUGUACAAGAAAGAUGGGGUCCCUGUCCCUGAGCUCUACAACAGAAUAUUCUGGAACAGUUUCCUCAUUAGCCCUGUGACCCCAGCACACGCAGGGACCUACAGAUGUCGAGGUUUUCACCCGCACUCCCCCACUGAGUGGUCGGCACCCAGCAACCCCCUGGUGAUCAUGGUCACAGGUCUAUAUGAGAAACCUUCACUCACAGCCCGGCGGGGCCCCACAGUUCGCACAGGAGAGAACGUGACCUUGUCCUGCAGCUCCCGGAGCUCCUUUGACAUCUACCAUCUAUCCAGGGAGGGGGAGGCCCAUGAACUUAGGCUCCCUGCAGUGCCCAGCGUCAAUGGAACAUUCCAGGCCGACUUCCCUCUGGGUCCUGCCACCCACGGAGAGACCUACAGAUGCUUUGGCUCUUUCCAUGAAUCUCCCUACGAGUGGUCAAACUCGAGUGACCCACUGCUUGUUUCUGUCACAGACUCUGAUGAACAAGACCCUCAGGAGGUGACAUGUGCACAGUUGGAUCACUGUGUUUUCACACAGAGAAAAAUCACUGGCCCUUCUCAGAGGACCAAGAGACCCUCAACAGAUACCAGCGUGUAUAUAGAACUUCCAAAUGCUGAGCCCAGAGCAUUGUCUCCUGCCCACAAGCACCACAGUCAGGCCUUGAUGGGAUCUUCUAGGGAGACAACAGCCCUGUCUCAAACCCAGCUUGCCAGCUCCAAUGUACCAGCAGCUGGAAUCUGAAGGCAUGAGUCUCCAUCUUAGAGCAUCGCUCUUCCUCACACCACAAAUCUGGUGCCUGUUUCUUGCUUACCAAUGUCUAAGGUCCCCACUGCCUGCUGGAGAGAAAACACACUCCUUUGCUUAGCCCACAAUUCUCUAUUUCACUUGACCCCUGCCCACCUCUCCAACCUAACUGGCUUACUUCCUAGUCCUACUUGAGGCUGCAAUCACACUGAGGAACUCACAAUUCCAAACAUACAAGAGGCUCCCUCUUAACAUGGCACUUAGACACAUGCUGUUCCACCUUACUUGAUGCUGUUCCACCUUUCCUCAGACUAUUUUUCAGCCUUCUGUCAUCAGUAAACUUACAAAAUUUUUUUAUGAUUUCAAUGUAGUUCUCUCCUCUUCAAAUAAACGUGUCUGCCCUCA